rnacentral:rRNA from 1 species
GAUGAACGCUAGCUACAGGCUUAACACAUGCAAGUCGAGGGGAAACGGCAUUGAGUGCUUGCACUCUUUGGACGUCGACCGGCGCACGGGUGAGUAACGCGUAUCCAACCUUCCCAUGACUAAGGGAUAACCUGCCGAAAGGCAGACUAAUACCUUAUGGUCUUCACUGACGGCAUCAGAUGUGAAGUAAAGAUUUAUCGGUUAUGGAUGGGGAUGCGUCUGAUUAGUUAGUUGGCGGGGUAACGGCCCACCAAGGCAACGAUCAGUAGGGGUUCUGAGAGGAAGGUCCCCCACAUUGGAACUGAGACACGGUCCAAACUCCUACGGGAGGCAGCAGUGAGGAAUAUUGGUCAAUGGGCGAGAGCCUGAACCAGCCAAGUAGCGUGCAGGACGACGGCCCUAUGGGUUGUAAACUGCUUUUGUAUGGGGAUAAAGUCAAUCACGUGUGAUUGUUUGCAGGUACCAUACGAAUAAGGACCGGCUAAUUCCGUGCCAGCAGCCGCGGUAAUACGGAAGGUCCGGGCGUUAUCCGGAUUUAUUGGGUUUAAAGGGAGCGUAGGCUGGAGAUUAAGUGUGUUGUGAAAUGUAGACGCUCAACGUCUGACUUGCAGCGCAUACUGGUUUCCUUGAGUACGCACAACGUUGGCGGAAUUCGUCGUGUAGCGGUGAAACGCUUAGAUAUGACGAAGAACUCCGAUUGCGAAGGCAGCUGACGGGAGCGCAACUGACGCUGAAGCUCGAAGGUGCGGGUAUCGAACAGG